rnacentral:rRNA from 1 species
CUUGACAUCCAGAGAACUUGGCAGAGAUGCCUUGGUGCCUUCGGGAACUCUGAGACAGGUGCUGCAUGGCUGUCGUCAGCUCGUGUUGUGAAAUGUUGGGUUAAGUCCGCAACGAGCGCAACCCCUAUCCUUUGUUGCCAGCGAUUCGGUCGGGAACUCAAAGGAGACUGCCGGUGAUAAACCGGAGGAAGGUGGGGAUGACGUCAAGUCAUCAUGGCCCUUACGAGUAGGGCUACACACGUGCUACAAUGGCGUAUACAAAGAGAAGCGACCUCGCGAGAGCAAGCGGACCUCAUAAAGUACGUCGUAGUCCGGAUUGGAGUCUGCAACUCGACUCCAUGAAGUCGGAAUCGCUAGUAAUCGUAGAUCAGAAUGCUACGGUGAAUACGUUCCCGGGCCUUGUACACACCGCCCGUCACACCAUGGGAGUGGGCUGCAAAAGAAGUAGAUAGCUUAACCUUCGGGAGGGCGUUUACCACUUUGUGAUUCAUGACUGGGGUGAAGUCGUAACAAGGUAAGCGUACGUGU